UCUGAUCUUAUUUCAGACUCCUUCUUUUGUGUUUGGAAAAACCCAUUUUCAAGAUUGGAUCCAAUCCGUGAUCCGAAAUCCCACUGGAUUACUUUUGAAAAACUGCGCCCUAGGGCCAUACACACACACACAC